rnacentral:lncRNA from 1 species
UUAAAUGGUACUUUAUGUUUCUUAGACAUUAGAUACGUCUAAGAAACAUAUAUUGGGCUAACAUGUGCUGCUGCAGCAAUUCCGCGUUUCAAUCCUCGAACAUUGUGAAUUCUACUACUAAAUUCGCUUUUUCUGUUCACUCAGUCAAAACGAAUCUCUAAAAAUAACAUGAAGCUUGCAAAUUUAAUUCUGUCAACGAACUCUACUGAGACCACUUGUUAAGUACCCGGCCGUCGAGCGCGUAUCAAAUUAAAAAAUUACGGAUGAAGAAACGCGGAUGUAAUGAGAGACUCGAGCGGGCUUAUCGAGAACGUAAAAAUGACAGAGGCGAUGAUAAACUCUACGCAUUAAGUUUUAGCAUAAUGUCGAAGCCGCGGCGUGUAACGCAUGCCGUUAACGUGCGCGUGUGGGCCGUUGUCGGCCCGUGGAGGUUCUUGAACUUUACCGAGGAUCCGUUUCCAGGAGCGACCGAACGAAGGUUCGGGUGAGGAUCGGCCAGGUGGGGAUCGGAAUCGUCUGCUGGCACGAGACAUCGCCCGGUCGUCAUACCUCGGGCACCCUCCUUGUCGUCCGGACACGUCCCGCGUUCUCCGAAACGCCGUUCCGCUCGCUUCUCAUCGCGUCAAGUUCUCGCGCUAGGAGCCACCGAAGUGAUCGACCCGAAUUGCGGCGGGAAAUAACUCGGCAGACCGGCGACCGGAUCCGAGGGAGUUUGAUAGAUCGCAGUCGAAGCCGAGCAACAAGUGCCUGGAGAAGUUUGCUUCAAAAGUUAAAUAAGCACAUCGCAACCGCGAUCGAAGGGAAAUCGCUUGGCGAGCAACUGCUUACCAAUGCUGUCGAUCAACAUGCGUAUAUUCCAGACUGUAUUACUUCUCGCGUUCUUCGGGGCGAGCGUUCGGUGUUUGCCCCUUGCUGAUGAGACGACCACCGAGUCCGCGAAAAUCGAAGCCUCCGCGGCGACUCCGCAGGAGACAGCCGCGAUCGCGGCUUCACCGACGACCGCGCGUCCUGACGCGUCCACCGAUUACUACGAUCAACGGCAGAACGGGACUGAAAAUUAUCGCAUCCACGUCGACGGCGUGGUGCUGGUAUUCGCGCCGGUCGAGGCGUUGCUCCUGGCUGGUGCCGGCGGCACCACCGAGUCUAACUUAACCGAUCACGUUGGAUCUUCGAUUCAGGCCAUCAGCGAGCUGAGCAAACCCAGCAUCGAUGGUGCCCAGAAUAAAACUGAUCCGGCUACCUCGAAGACGAUAACUAGACCAGCUUUGCGGUUGGCCAAUUUCUUAGCGCCCCUAAUACGUCACAUACGUCACGAAGGAGGUACGAGUGUGCACUGAAACGACUCCUCGACGCUCGCGAUUCCAAUAUGCACAUAGCGUUCCGCAUACAACACAUAUUUUAGAAAACGGGAUAGGAUAUCUGCAUCUACUCUGGGGGAAUGAUGGACGUGUACUCAUAUAUAAUAUAACGUGUAUGAUUUGUGAUUAAUUUGGAAACGCGCACUUAUACCACAACCAAGGGGAAGAAGGUGCUGAUAUUAGCGUUAGUUGGCGAAUUUCUCCGGAAUGUAAAACGGCUUGUAAAAUUGACUCGCAUUCGUGUCGUGUAACGGGCGGCUGAUCGAUAUACCCACAUAUGUAUUUACAUGUUAAACGCGUUGAAUGCGAUGUCUGAGUGUUAGUGUUGAACCCGUAAGAUUCGCACGCAUACUUACGCAAUACUUUAAUUUAAUGCGAAGCUAUAUGUACGCGCAGUGUACUCACACAGUAUUAUACAGAAUCAGUGUCUCGAUAAGAAAAUUUAUUUAAUUAAACAUUAAAAUACAUACGUGUUUCUUCUUGAUGUAUCAUCACAACGAUCUCGAUAAAAAUGCUUAAAGCUACGCUUAUAUCCUUCACGUUUUUCCCUAUCCUCGCCUAUGAUGAAGGAAACCUCUCAAUUCUAAGUGCUUAUAAUAUAUCUCGACACUUUGGUUUCACUCUGAGCAACUCAGUUAAUAUCUUUUGAAAUCUGUCAUAGACAAACGAAAAUACUACAAAUGUAAGCGUGUAUUCCUAAAUAAUUAACGAAGAAAAGAUUACGUAAGAAUCGCGUAAGAUCGCUCUUCUAGUCUUAUUUUCUCUAGUCUUUAUUAUUUAAAAAGCUUUUUAUGUGCAUUUUAUGUAUAUGUAUAUCUAUGACUUGUUGCAAAAUAUUUCUCUAUCUGUUCUCUUAGAUGUCACAUGAUUAUUAUACAGAACUGUUGUACGAUCGAAGACAUGAUAAAAGAUAUCCGGUUUUCAUAUUUUAAACGUUAAUAUCUUACUGUGUUCUUCUUCCAUUAAAUGCUAAUUUUCUCAUUUUUGUAAAAGUACAGUACCCUGUGCAUCUCAAAAUGAAAAGUGUACCUCGAGAUUUUGAAAUUUAAUUCAAUUCUAUUAUUUCUUAAUUAUUUCUUACGCGGAUAGUGCUAUUAGAAUUUUUAUACGAAUUGAAAUGAAUUAAGUUACGACAAUAAAUUGCGCAUGGAAUAUA